rnacentral:rRNA from 1 species
GAUGAACGCUGGCGGCGUGCUUAACACAUGCAAGUCGAACGAAGCACUUUAUUUGACUUCCUUCGGGACUGAUUAUUUUGUGACUGAGUGGCGGACGGGUGAGUAACGCGUGGGUAACCUGCCUUGUACAGGGGGAUAACAGUUGGAAACGGCUGCUAAUACCGCAUAAGCGCACAGCAUCGCAUGAUGCAGUGUGAAAAACUCCGGUGGUAUAAGAUGGACCCGCGUUGGAUUAGCUAGUUGGUGAGGUAACGGCCCACCAAGGCGACGAUCCAUAGCCGAACUGAGAGGGUGACCGGCCACAUUGGGACUGAGACACGGCCCAAAAUCCUACGGGAGGCAGCAGUGGGGAAUAUUGCACAAUGGGCGAAAGCCUGAUGCAGCGACGCCGCGUGAGCGAAGAAGUAUUUCGGUAUGUAAAGCUCUAUCAGCAGGGAAGAUAAUGACGGUACCUGACUAAGAAGCACCGGCUAAAUACGUG